rnacentral:rRNA from 1 species
UACAGAGGGGGCAAGCGUUGUCCGGACUGACUGGGCGUAAAGCGCGCGCAGGCGGUCACGGGCGUCGGUGCUGAAAGUGCGCCGCUUAACGGCGCAAUGCGUGCCGAUACGCCGUGACUGGAGCGCGGGCGAGGGUGGUGGAAUUGCCGGUGUAGUGGUGAAAUGCGUAGAUAUCGGCAGGAACACCUGUGGCGAAGGCGGCCACCUAGCCCGCUGCUGACGCUGAAGCGCGACAGCGUGGGGGAGCGAACUGG